rnacentral:rRNA from 1 species
UACGUAGGGUGCAAGCGUUGUCCGGAAUUAUUGGGCGUAAAGAGCUCGUAGGCGGUUUGUCGCGUCGGUUGUGAAAGCCCGGGGCUUAACCCUGGGUCUGCAGUCGAUACGGGCAGGCUAGAGUUCGGUAGGGGAGACUGGAAUUCCUGGUGUAGCGGUGAAAUGCGCAGAUAUCAGGAGGAACACCGGUGGCGAAGGCGGGUCUCUGGGCCGAUACUGACGCUGAGGAGCGAAAGCGUGGGGAGCGAACAGGAUUAGAUACCCUGGUAGUCCACGCUGUAAACGGUGGGAACUAGGUGUGGGCAGCAUUCCACGUUGUCUGUGCCGCAGCUAACGCAUUAAGUUCCCCGCCUGGGGAGUACGGCCGCAAGGCUAAA